GUAUAACACUGUAAUUCCAAUCGUCUGGGCUGGGAAGUUCCCGGUAAAUCCAAAAAGCAGAACCUGUGAGAACUGAUUUAAAGCCAGGAUCGAAUCCGCUGGACCCUUAGAAUUGGACGUAGCAGCGCAUCCCUUCCGACCCGGAGAUUGAAUAUAUAUAAAAUCGCUGAGAAGCGGCAAGGACCAUAUCGAGUCAUUUUAACAACACUUACAGCAGUAAAGGUCUGGGAGAAGAACCUUGGCUUCAUUAUUCAAGAAUAAAGAAAGCACCAACAGGAAAUUGGAAGUCUAAAGAAACUGGCCCUUUGAAAC